GGGAGGCAGCAGUGAGGAAUAUUGGUCAAUGGACGAGAGUCUGAACCAGCCAAGUAGCGUGAAGGAUGACUGCCUAUGGGUUGUAAACUUCUUUUAUACGGGAAUAAGUGAGCCACGUGUGGCUUUUUGUAUGUACCGUAUGAAUAAGGAUCGGCUAACUCCGUGCCAGCAGCCGCGGUAAUACGGAGGAUCCGAGCGUUAUCCGGAUUUAUUGGGUUUAAAGGGAGCGUAGGCGGGUUGUUAAGUCAGUUGUGAAAGUUUGCGGCUCAACCGUAAAAUUGCAGUUGAUACUGGCGACCUUGAGUGCAACAGAGGUAGGCGGAAUUCGUGGUGUAGCGGUGAAAUGCUUAGAUAUCACGAAGAACUCCGAUUGCGAAGGCAGCUUACUGGAUUGU
rnacentral:rRNA from 1 species